rfam:Candidatus Desulforudis audaxviator MP104C, complete genome.
UCCGGUGGCAAUGGCGGAGGGGCCACACCCGUUCCCAUCCCGAACACGGAAGUUAAGCCCUCCAGCGCCGAUGGUACUGGGGCCUGCCCCCGGGAGAGUAGGACGCCGCCGGAG